UGGCGAAGUGGUUAACGCACCUGAUUGUGGUUCAGGCAUUCGUGGGUUCGAUUCCCAU
rnacentral:tRNA from 1 species